AUGGAUGAUCGGGAGGAUCUGGUGUACCAGGCGAAGCUGGCCAAGCAGGCUGAGCGAUACGAUGAAAUGGUUGAAUCAAUGAAGAAAGUAGCAGGAAUGGAUGUGGAGCUGACAGUUGAAGAAAGAAACCUCCUAUCUGUUGCAUAUAAAAAUGUGAUUGGAGCUAGAAGAGCCUCCUGGAGAAUAAUUAGCAGCAUUGAACAGAAAGAAGAAAACAAGGGAGGAGAAGACCAACUAAAAAUGAUUCGAGAAUAUUGCAAAUGGUUGAGACUGAGCUAAAGUUAAUCUGUUGUGACAUUCUGGAUGUACUGGACAAACACCUCAUUCUAGCAGCUAACACUGGCGAGUCCAAGGUUUUCUAUUAUAAAAUGAAAGGGGACUAUCACAGGUAUCUGGCUGAAUUUGCCACAGGAAAUGAUAGGAAGGAGGCUUCAGAGAACAGCCUAGUGGCUUAUAAAGCUGGUAGUGAUAUUGCAAUGACAGAACUUCCACCAAUGCAUCCUAUUCGUGUAGGUCUUGCUCUCAACUUUUCUGUAUUCUACUAUGAAAUUCUUAAUUCCCUUGACAGUGCCUGCAGGUUGGCAAAAGCAGCUUUUGAUGAUACAACUGCAGAACUGGAUACACUGAGUGAAGAAAGCUAUAAGGACUCUACACUUAUGCAGUUGUUAUGUGAUAAUCUGACAUUAAUGACUUCAGACAUGCAGGAUGAUGGUGAAGAGCAGAAUAAAGAAGCGCUGCAGGAUGUGGAAGAUGAAAAUCAGUGA